rnacentral:lncRNA from 1 species
UAGAAUUCAUUUUAAAUAUGAUUUUUUCUUCUGUUUUUGUAAUUAUAUAAGGAGGACAUAUUUAUUGUGAAUUAUUGAUUUUAUAAUUACUGCUGCUGGUAUUCACAUUAUUACACAAUGAAAAUCUUUUAAUAUACAGUGCUCUUCACACUGAGCUGGUGAACAGAUAGUGCAAUGCAAUUUAUUAUUUUUAUUUUUCUAUUUUUUUUGUUUUCUUGAUUUCCAUUUUUUAUUCUAAUUUGUUAUAUAUAUUAGUAGAAUGCAUUACAAUUCAUAUUACACAUAUAAAGCACAAUUUUUCAUAUCUCUGGUUGUAUACGUAUACUUUCAAAAAUGAUAUCCAUCUUAUUCCACCAUCAUUUCUAACCUCAUGCCCCCUCCUUUACCCUCCCACCCCUCUGCCCUAUCAAGAGUUCCUCUAUUCCUUCCAUGCUCCCUCUCCCUACCCCACUAUGAAUCAGCCUCCUUAUAUCAGAGAAAACACAUGGCUUUUUUGGGGGGCGGGGGGGUUGGCUAAUUUUGCUUAGCAUUAUCUUCUCCAAAUCCAUCCAUUUGCCUGCAAAUGCCAUGAUUUUAUUUUCUUUUAUUGCUGAGUAAUAUUCCAUUGUAUAUGUAUGUCACAUUUUUUUUUUAUCCAUUCAUCUACUGAAGGGUAUCUAGGUUGGCUUCACAAUUUAGCUAUUGUGAGUUGUGGUGCUAUAAACAUUGAUGUGGCUAUGUCCCUGUAGAAUGCUGUUUUUAAGUCCUUUGGGUAUAGAUGGAGGAGAAGGACAGCAGAGUCAAAUGGUGGUUGCAUUCCCAGUUUUCCAAAGAAUCUCCAUACUGCUUUCCAUAUUGGCAGCACCAAGUUGCAGUCCCACCAGCAGUGUAUAAGUGUGCCUUUUUCCCCACAUCCUUGCCAAUACUUAUUGUUGUUUGUAUUCUU